rnacentral:tRNA from 1 species
GCGGCCAUGGCGGAAUUGGUAGACGCGCUAGCUUGAGGUGCUAGUGCCGAAAGGCGUGGAAGUUCGAGUCUUCUUGGCCGCACCA